GCAAAUGAUCGGGACUUAAGCACUAUGCCGAAACUGCGGGUUCGCGGAUUUCAUUCAGGAAUGUUCUUUGUUUUUAUGUAGGGUGAUAGCUCAGCUGGUAGAGCGCCGAGCUCCAAACUCGGAUGUCGAAGGUUCGAGUCCUUCUCACCCUGCCAUAAAAACAGCCUGGCAAUCAAUUGAUUGCCUCCUGAAUGAAAUCCGUGAGCGGUAGGAGAGCGUUCUGUUUGCGUUGAAGGUGAAGGGGUGACCCACACUGGAGCGUACAGAAGUGAGAAUGCCGGCACGAGUAACCGCAAUGCGAGUGAGAGCCUCGCACACCGAAAGAUCAAGGUUUCCGCAGCUACGAUGAUCAGCUGCGGGUUAGUCGGGCCUAAGGGGAUGGCGAAAGCCGCACCCGAUGGACACAUGGUUAAUAUUCCAUGACUACGCUGCUAUGCGAUGGGGGGACGGAUUGUUGUACACAUUGCCCAUUAUUGGAUUUGGGUUGGUGCUAUGAGGGCUGCUUUUAGGUAAAUCCGGAAGCAUAUAGUCCAAGUAGAGCCACAAUUUUUUGGUUUCGGCCAGGAGAGAGAAUGUGGAGCACGGUUCCAAGAAAAGCCUCUAAGCUUCAGUAGCAGUCGUAUCCGUACCGCAAACCAACACAGGUGAUCAGGGCGAGUAGCCCAAGGUGAACGAGUAAUGGGUCCUCAAGGAACUCGGCAAAAAAGCGACCGUAACUUCGGGAUAAGGUCUGCCUUUGCGUUUUCGGACGUGAAGGCCGCAGCGAAAGUUUCUCUGGCGACUGUUUAUCAAAAACACAGCUCCCUGCGAACUCGUAAGAGUAUGUAUAGGGGGUGACGCCUGACCAAUGCCAGAAGGUUAAGUACGGGUGGUAUAUUUCUUCGGAUUUAUGCUGGCCUGUAUAAGCCCUGGUGAAUGUCGGCCGUAACUAUAACGGUCCUAAGGUAGCGUAAUUCCUUGUCGGGUAAGUUCCGACGUGCACGAAUGGCGUAACGACUGGAGAACUGUCUCGAGGACUUGCUCGGUGAAAAUGCAAUCCCGGUAAAGAUGCCGGGUAGAUGUGGAAAGACAGAAAGACCCCAGAAGCUUUACUACAGCUUCGUAUUGGGUCUGCGUGACAUGUGCGUAGCAUAGGUGGGAGACUUUGAAGCACCCCUUUUGGGGGGUGUGGAGUCGUCAGUGAAAUACCACUCUCAUGUUGUUCAGAUCCUAACCCAUAGGGAAACCCUAUAGGAACAGUGCGUGGUGGGUAGUUUGAGUGGGGCGCUCUCCUCCUAAAAAGUAACGGAGGAGUCUAUUAAGGUCAGCUAGGCGCGAAUGGACACCGUGCCGAUAGUGUAAUGGCAAAAGCUGGCUUGACUGUGAGGGGUACGUCCCGAGCAGGUGCGAAAGCAGAGCAUAGUGAUCCGACUGUACGCAUUAGAUGCGGCAGGAGCUCAACGGAUAAAAGCUACUCUGGGGAUAACAGGCUAGUCGCGCCCAAGCGUCCAUAGCGACGGCGCGGUUCGGCACCUCGAUGUCGGCUCAUCUUAUCCUGGGGCUGGAGAAGGUCCCAAGGGUUUGGCUGUUCGCCAAU
rnacentral:rRNA from 1 species